CAGAGUUCAUGCCCUAACGGGUAGAUCUCCCACCCUAUGUUAUUAUACUAUGUUGCUUUGGCGGGCCUGCUCCUGCAAGGGGGCGCGGCCUCGGCUGAUAGUGCCUGCCAAAGAUAUCAAACUCUGAAUUUAAUGUCGUCUAAGUACUAUAUAAUAGUUA
rnacentral:misc_RNA from 1 species